GAGUAAGAGCGUAUAGCCUCGGACCCGAAAGAUGGUGAACUAUGCCUGAAUAGGGUGAAGCCAGAGGAAACUCUGGUGGAGGCUCGCAGCGGUUCUGACGUGCAAAUCGAUCGUCAAAUUUGGGCAUGGGGGCGAAAGACUAAUCGAACCAUCUAGUAGCUGGUUACCGCCGAAGUUUCCCUCAGGAUAGCAGUGUUGUUCUUCAGUUUUAUGAGGUAAAGCGAAUGAUUAGGGACUCGGGGGCGCUAUUUAGCCUUCAUCCAUUCUCAAACUUUAAAUAUGUAAGAAGCCCUUGUUACUUAAUUGAACGUGGGCAUUCGAAUGUACCAACACUAGUGGGCCAUUUUUGGUAAGCAGAACUGGCGAUGCGGGAUGAACCGAACGCGGGGUUAAGGUGCCAGAGUGGACGCUCAUCAGACACCACAAAAGGCGUUAGUACAUCUUGACAGCAGGACGGUGGCCAUGGAAGUCGGAAUCCGCUAAGGACUGUGUAACAACUCACCUGCCGAAUGUACUAGCCCUGAAAAUGGAUGGCGCUCAAGCGUCCCACCCAUACCCCGCCCUUAGGGUAGAAACGAUGCCCUAAGGAGUAGGCGGCCGUGGGGGUCAGUGACGAAGCCUAGGGCGUGAGCCCGGGUCGAACGGCCCCUAG
rnacentral:rRNA from 1 species